AGUGAACGCUGGCGAUAGGCCUAACACAUGCAAGUCGAACGGCAGCACAGUAAGAGCUUGCUCUUACGGGUGGCGAGUGGCGGACGGGUGAGGAAUACAUCGGAAUCUACUUUUUCGUGGGGGAUAACGUAGGGAAACUUACGCUAAUACCGCAUACGACCUACGGGUGAAAGCAGGGGAUCUUCGGACCUUGCGCGAUUGAAUGAGCCGAUGUCGGAUUAGCUAGUUGGCGGGGUAAAGGCCCACCAAGGCGACGAUCCGUAGCUGGUCUGAGAGGAUGAUCGGCCACACUGGAACUGAGACACGGUCCAGACUCCUACGGGAGGCAGCAGUGGGGAAUAUUGGACAAUGGGGGGAAGCCUGAUCCAGCCAGACCGCGUGGGUGAAGGAGGCCUUCGGGUUGUAAAGCCCUUUUGUUGGGAAAGAAAAGCAGCAGGUUAAUACCCCGCUGUUCUGACGGUACCCAAAGAAGAAGCACCGGCUAACUUCGUG
rnacentral:rRNA from 1 species